rnacentral:rRNA from 1 species
UGGGGAAUAUUGGACAAUGGGCGCAAGCCUGAUCCAGCCAUGCCUCGUGAGUGAUGAAGGCCCUACGGUUGUAAAGCUCUUUCACCGGUGUAGAUAAUGACGGUAACCGGAUAAGAAGCCCCGGCUAACUUCGUGCCAGCAUCCGCGGUAAUACGAAGGGGGCUAGCGUUGUUCGGAUUUACUGGGCGUAAAGCGCACGUAGUCGGACUUUUAAGUCAGGGGUGAAAUCCCGGGGCUCAACCCCGGAACUGCCUUUGAUACUGGAAGUCUUGAGUAUGGUAGAGGUGAGUGGAAUUCCGAGUGUAGAGGUGAAAUUCGUAGAUAUUCGGAGGAACAACAGUGGCGAAGGCGGCUCACUGGACCAUUACUGACGCUGAGGUGCGAAAGCGUGGGGAGCAAACAGG